CCAUGCAGUCGAACGAUGAAGCACCAGCUUGCUGGUGUGGAUUAGUGGCGAACGGGUGAGUAACACGUGAGCAACCUGCCCCGGACUUUGGGAUAAGCGCUGGAAACGGCGUCUAAUACCGAAUAUGCACCAUGAAGGCAUCUUCAAUGGUGGGAAAGAUUUAUCGGUCCGGGAGGGGCUCGCGGCCUAUCAGCUUGUUGGUGAGGUAAUGGCUCACCAAGGCGUCGACGGGUAGCCGGCCUGAGAGGGUGACCGGCCACACUGGGACUGAGACACGGCCCAGACUCCUACGGGAGGCAGCAGUGGGGAAUAUUGCACAAUGGGCGCAAGCCUGAUGCAGCAACGCCGCGUGGGGGAUGACGGCCUUCGGGUUGUAAACCCCUUUUAGUAGGGAAGAAGCCUUCGGGUGACGGUACCUGCAGAAAAAGCGCCGGCUAACUACGUGCCAGCAGCCGCGGUAAUACGUAGGGCGCAAGCGUUAUCCGGAAUUAUUGGGCGUAAAGAGCUCGUAGGCGGCUUGUCGCGUCUGCUGUGAAAACUGGAGGCUCAACUUCCAGCGUGCAGUGGGUACGGGCAGGCUAGAGUGCGGUAGGGGAGAUUGGAAUUCCUGGUGUAGCGGUGGAAUGCGCAGAUAUCAGGAGGAACACCGAUGGCGAAGGCAGAUCUCUGGGCCGUAACUGACGCUGAGGAGCGAAAGAGUGGGGAGCGAACAGGCUUAGAUACCCUGGUAGUCCACUCCGUAAACGUUGGGAACUAGUUGUGGGGGCCUUUCCACGG
rnacentral:rRNA from 1 species